rnacentral:lncRNA from 1 species
UUUUGACAGCGUCUUGCUCUGUUGCCCAGGCUGGAGUGCAAUGGUGCAAUCUCAGCUCACUGCAACCUCUGCCUCCCAGGUUUAAGCAAUUAUAGGUUUCUCUGGCCCUUCCAACAGCAAGUAUCGCCAGGAGCAGCUCCCUAAUCUACAUACUACAGAUCUAUCCACAAGAAGACAGAUGGAACCACUCUUUUCUUCUGAAUUCUAGAACCUUAAGGAAGUUAACCUGAGUGGCUCAGCUUGGAUCAAGUGCCCAUCCUGGUCCAAACAACUGUAGCAGCACAUCUGUGUAUUUGUGUAUCUUGUUCCUCCAUAAUCUUGCAGUCCGGGGAAAGUGUGCAGAUGGAUGGGUCCCUGAAAAGCAAGAGUUGUUUAGACAACGCUAGAGGUGUUCAGUUCUGGGAGACAAGAGUUGGGCCAGGUUGAUAACUAGCCUAAGAGAGUCGGAAUCAGAUGAAUAAGAACUAGAUCUUGGGUGACAACCUAGAUCAAGAGUCUUGAGGUUCAGUCAUUUCAAAAAGCUCAAGUCUCAUUGCUUCUUGGCCUUCUGGCUAAGAUCAUGUGCAGUAUCUGUUCUUACCAGUUUAAUAUCUGAUACAUCCUCUAUCUGAGGAUAAUAUAAUAAAUAGAUUUUUGGAGCAAGGAGAUGGAAUAGGAGCUUGCUCUGUCCACUCUACACAUUGGCCUGGAUUGCAGUACCUCCAGGAAUGGUGCACCCUCUCUACCACCCCCAAAAAGCCCAAGUCUCAAGAGGUAGUCUGGAAAAAAGUGUUUUUGGAUUUACCUACAUUUUUUUUUCCAAGAUGGAGUCUCGCUCUGUCACCCAGGCUGGAGUGCAGUGGCGCCAUCUUGGCUCACUGUAACCUCUGCCUCCAGGAUUCAAGCAGUUCUCCUGCCUCAGUCUCCCAAGUAGCUGGGAUUACAGGUGUGUGCCAACCAUGCUCAGCUAAUUUUUCUAUUUUUAGUAGAGACAGGGUUUCACCAUGUUGGCCAGGCAGGUCUCAAAGUCCUGACCUCAGGUGAUCUGCCUGCCUUGGCCUCCCGAAGUGCUAAGAUUACAGGCGUGAGCCACUGCGCCCGGCCUAAUUUUUGUAAUUUUAGUAGAGACGAGUUUUCACCAUGUUGACCAGGCUGGUCUCGAACUCCUGACCUCAGGUGAUCCACCCCCGCCCUCGGCCUCCCAAAGUGCUGGCACUACAGGCAUGAGCCACCGCUCCUGGCCGGGUUUGCCUACAUUUUGGAGAUGCUGCACACCAUGUCCCUCUUUUCAAGAGUCACGUAAGUAUUUACAUAUGGAAGACCCUGAGAAGGCACCUGGGAAAAAACCUGUUUAACUGUAAAUAUAAUAAUGUAUGUAUUUGUAUGUGGAGCUCUUCUUUUAGUGGAUUAUCUAUAAACCGUCCACUGUUCCCAAUGCAUACUUUGGAGACAGACCUACACUACCAGUUUUCACCUGCUAGUUAUUUUUAUAAGGGUUGGGAUGGUCCAUGAGUGAACAGUCUUGAUUUAAAGCAGUGUUUCCCAAACCUCAUUUAUUUGCCUAUAGCCUUCCUGGAGUUUGUCUUAUAUGUCCGCUCUGUGCACUAUUCCUAUAUGUUUUUAUGUAAAUCAAUCACUUUUUUAAAAAGCCUCAUCCCAGUUAUAUCCUUAAAACAAUGGUUAUUUUUUCUCAUACACAUCGAAAUACAUAUCUAUUAGAAUUAAAAUGCUUGUCCAUGCACUAUCAAUAAUCUCCUCAAGUACCAUAUGGUGGGGACAUGUGUUUGAAGUGUUAGGAGUCAGGAGUGGUCUCUGUAAGACAGAGUAAGUCAGUCAACCUCUGAGCACUGCCAGCCACACAUGCUGGCAGAGAAGUUCAGCCUGUGACAAGACUGCCCGGAUAUUUCCAUGUCUGUGCACGGGGAUGUCCUCGGUCUGCCAUUGUGAAGUCUGUGCUGUUUUCAUGCCUACCUAGUCUUCUUUGGAGGGGCCUGGAAAGCAAAUGCAGGCUGGGUACAGUGGCUCAUGCCUGUAAUCCCAGCACUUUGGGAGGCAAAGGUGGGCAGAUCACGAGGUCAGGAGUUUGAGACCAG